GGAAGUAUAGAUCAGUGGUAGAGUACUUGCCUAGCAAGCAUGAUGCUCUGGAUUCAAUCCCCAGAACCA
rnacentral:tRNA from 1 species